AUGUGUUCUAUGGUGACUCUGGUGGAGAGUAUAUCUCCAAGCCGUUGCGUGGAAUCCUUGCUGAGCAGACUUUGGUUCUCUUAUCCUGGUGCUCAUGCUCAAAAUGGCGUGGCUGAGCAGAAGCAUCGUCACCUUCUUGAGACGGCUCCUCCAUUGAUGGUCACCGCCUCUCUUUCACCGCACUUUUGGGCCGAGUCUGUCUCCACUUCCAUCUAUCACAUCAACGUUCAGCAAUCCAUUGCUCUGCAGGGUGGCACUCCUUUCGAGCGUCUAUUUGAUUAUUUCCUGAUUAUUCGGCACUUCAAUUGUUUGGUUGUGUUUGCUAUGUCCUUCUUGCCCACGUGA
rnacentral:rRNA from 1 species